GCCGGGCAGGGUGGUGCACGCCUGUAAUCCUACCUGCUCAGGAGGCUGAGGCAGGAGGAUCACGAGUUCAAAGCCAGCCUCAGCAAAAGUGAGGGCUAAGUAACUCAGUGAGAUUCAGUCUCUA
rnacentral:sRNA from 1 species